rnacentral:rRNA from 1 species
UGGUCAAGUUAUUAAGGGUGCAGGGCGGAUGCCUUGGCACUAGGAGCCGAUGAAGGACGUGAUAAGCUGCGAUAAGCUUCGGGGAGUUGCACGUAAACUUUGAUCCGAAGAUUUCCGAAUGAGGAAACUCACUUAGAGUAAUGUCUAAGUAUCAUUAAGUGAAUACAUAGCUUAAUGAGGGGAACUCAGGGAACUGAAACAUCUAAGUACCUGAAGGAAGAGAAAGAAAUUCGAUUCCGUAAGUAGCGGCGAGCGAACGCGGAUUAGCCCAAACCAAUAAAGUUUUCUUUAUUGGGGUUGCGGACAUAUCAUAACGAAGAGGUAUCGUAAUUGAAGAGGUUUGGAAAGACCCACCACAGAAGGUAAUAGUCCUGUAUGUUAAACGAGAAGACUUCAGAUAUGAUCCAGAGUACCACGGGACACGUGAAACCCUGUGGGAAGCAGGAGGGACCACCCUCCAAGGCUAAAUACUACCUAGUGACCGAUAGCGUAUAGUACCGUGAGGGAAAGGUGAAAAGAACCCCGGGAGGGGAGUGAAAUAGAACCUGAAACCCUGCACUUACAAGCUGUGGAAGCACAUUUCUUGUGUGACCGCGUACUUUUUGUAGAACGGGCCAACGAGUUACGUUAAGUAGCAAGGUUAAGCACUUAAGG